rnacentral:rRNA from 1 species
GGGGAAUCUUGCGCAAUGGGCGAAAGCCUGACGCAGCCAUGCCGCGUGAAUGAUGAAGGUCUUAGGAUUGUAAAAUUCUUUCACCGGGGACGAUAAUGACGGUACCCGGAGAAGAAGCCCCGGCUAACUUCGUGCCAGCAGCCGCGGUAAUACGAUGGGGGCUAGCGUUGCUCGGAAUUACUGGGCGUAAAGGGAGCGUAGGCGGACAUUUAAGUCAGGGGUGAAAUCCCGGGGCUCAACCUCGGAAUUGCCUUUGAUACUGGGUGUCUUGAGUAUGAGAGAGGUGUGUGGAACUCCGAGUGUAGAGGUGAAAUUCGUAGAUAUUCGGAAGAACACCAGUGGCGAAGGCGACACACUGGCUCAUUACUGACGCUGAGGCUCGAAAGCGUGGGGAGCAAAC